rnacentral:rRNA from 1 species
GCAAGUCGAACGGUGAAGCCCAGCUUGCUGGGUGGAUCAGUGGCGAACGGGUGAGUAACACGUGAGAAAUCUGCCCCUGACUCUGGGAUAAGCGCUGGAAACGGCGUCUAAUACUGGAUAUGAACCGUGGAGGCAUCUUCAACGGUUGGAAAGAGUGUUUGGUCAGGGAUGAGCUCGCGGCCUAUCAGCUUGUUGGUGAGGUAAUGGCCCACCAAGGCAUCGACGGGUAGCCGGCCUGAGAGGGUGACC